UGUCGGGAGUUUGUUGUUGACUCGGUGGGUUUACGGAUCAUGGGAUCAGGGUGUUGGUUCUUUUCGGGCAGUAGGUAGAUGAUAUGGAGAUGCUUGGAGUAUGCUGCUGGCCGGUCCCCUUUCCCACGUCAUAUCCGAGGACCUUUAUCGGUUUUGUUUCUCUUUUCCUACACUUCGUAUUUGUUGGGUUUAGAGUUGUGAGAACGAAUUGUGUUUUUGAUACAUGUAUUGUGGACUUGUAUCUGUGAUGUGUUUCGUGGACUUUUGUAUUUGUGGGUUUCCUCUUCGCCUU